rnacentral:miRNA from 1 species
UGAUGAUGAUGAUGAUGAUGAUGAUGAUGAUGACCACCAUGAUGACCAUGAUAUUCGCGAUGAUGGUUAUGAUCAUGAGCAUCAUGACGAUGA